UUCCACAAUAUGCGGCAUUCCUGUAGGAAAAUUCAUGUCGAGUAGCCCUUUGGUGUCAAGCUUUCCAAAAGAAUUUAACACAGUGCAACUCUCGAAUCUUAAAAAUGGCGGGCACUUGGAUCGACGACUAGUUCACAAAGAAGAGGUAUUCAUAGCCUCUUCUUUCGGCGUUGUUUCCGCGAUACUUCGGCAAAAACUAAAAGCGGGCGAAGAAGAAAAGUACAGUUGGUUGGUUGAUGGCAUCAACAGCCUAAAUAUUGGCCAAGAUAAUGAAGAUUGCCAAACAGCGACUGACACACGUGACAACAACAAGGACAAAAUUCAUGACCCUGUACAAACAGUAUUUGGAGUCGAUUCAAGGUCAGCCAUAUCCAUAGAGGAUAUCGAGAAGUGUCAAGAUGAAAAUCUUAAGCUUAAGGCUGAACUUGAAGUUGUGCUUUCCCAGUUGGAGGCCCUUCGAGAUGAGAUGAAAAACGGCGGUCAAUCGACGCUGAGCUCAGGCACACAGGACCCGGCAAAGGACAACCCGGACAGUACAAGCGAUAUGUGGACCUUGAUCGGCGAUGUUUGCGAUAAGUUCCAGGUGCCUCUUGCAUCUUUAUUCGCCGAUCAGGUGGACCAGAAUGUUGAAGUGGCUAAGGUGAUGAGCGAUAUCGCAGAACAGCUGCUGAGAAAAAAAGACCCGAAGCAAGCCCUGGAAGCAAUACUGGGGGACAGUGCCCCAAAAUUCUUUAAAUCCGUUCGUGUGCCCGAUUGGACGUUGCUUUACUUCAAGCUGCAGUCCCAGAUCCCAGACCAAGGAUGGCAAACCUUGUUGAACUUUACAAAGUUAGGGCGAACUAAGGUAGGCAGCAAGUCAUCCUAUCAAUGUCAGUCAUGCAUCAAGUGAGAGCUGUAAAAGUGUCUACCCUAUAGCAAUUGCAAAUUGUGAGGAAAACAGGAUCAAUGUUGAAGCCCUAAUAAAGGAAAUCAAUGCCCAAAAAAAUGCCAUCAAGAAAAAUGGAAUAACUAUUGAUGGAAGACACUUUAA